GAUUUUUAUUGCUUAGUGUUGGAUCCUCGUAAUAAGUUUGUGUAUGUUAGCUUUGGGCUUGAAGAGCUAUUUGGGGAGGAAGUAGGAAAGAAAGUAAGCGAAGGAGUGUAUGAUUAUAUGAAAUCUUUGUUUGUAGAGUAUCUCAAAAAUUAUUCAAGAGAAUUUCAUCAUAAAUCAUCUCCAUCUGCAUCUUCUUCAUCUCAAUGCUCAUCUGAUGUAUCUUCUAGUUCUGACACCUCUUUGAGAGCAAAAGCUUUGAGAACUAAGCUUCAGUUGAAGAAACAAAGGAAGAUUACGGAUGUGGGGGUGCUAAAUUGGAGUUGGAUAAAUACAUUAGUGAAGAACAAGAGCCUGAAGAUGAAUGUGUUGAGUUUAAGGUCUUAGAUUGGUGGAAAAUAAAUGCUCCUAGAUUUCCCGUGCUUUCGGAGUUGGCUCGUGAUGUGUUGGCUAUUCCGGUUUCUAGUGUGGCAUCGGAAUGUGCAUUUAGUACCGGUGGACGUAUUCUUGAUCCAUUUAGAAGUUCAUUGACUCCUAAAUGUGUGCAAUCUCUUAUUUGUGCCCAAGAUUGGCUUAGAGAAGAGACUAAACCAGUUAGUGUGGAAGAAAGUUUGGAGUAUCUUGAGCAACUUGAACUUGAGAUAGCAAAUAGUGGAAGAGAUCCUUGCAUUGUUGAUGUUUGAUUUAGGGAGUUUGAUUGCAAUUUGCUACUAGUGUUCAACAAUGCCUCCUAAUGCUCGCUCACAUGUUUGGGAAUAUUUUGCGGUAGUUCAAGAAAAUAAAGAAGGGCGUAAAUUAAGGUGCUUGACAUGUGGUAUGAUACUUAAAUAUAAUUCAAGAGUGAAUGGCACAGGUUCGUUGAUGAAACAUAUUGGGAAAUGUUUUGAGCGUCAACAAGAGAGGCAAAUUCGCCUUCAAAUUUGAGCUUGUGUUUUGAAUUUGGUGAAUGUCGGACCGAAUUGUGAUUGCUAGUGUUGUGUUAAGACAAUGGAUUUAAGACUUAGUUUGUGACAGCUAAUUUUUUGUAUUUGGAGCUAAAUUUUAAGACAUUUGUGUUGUUUAUUUAUGUUGUUUGGCAGUUUGGCUGCUGCUCGUUUUAAGCUUAUGUUAUAUUGUUAUUUGUGUUGCUUGUU